GUGUCAGCCGCCGCGGUAAGACGAACCGUGCGAACGUUGUUCGGAAUCACUGGGCUUAAAGGGCGCGUAGGCGGGCGAGCAAGUUCGGGGUGAAAUCUUUCGGCUCAACCGGAAAAGGGCCUCGGAGACUGCUCGUCUGGAGGGAGGUAGGGGCAGGUGGAACUGCUGGUGGAGCGGUGAAAUGCGUUGAUAUCAGCAGGAACGCCGGUGGCGAAAGCGACCUGCUGGACCUCUUCUGACGCUGAGGCGCGAAAGCUAGGGGAGCAAACGGGAUUAGAAACCCUGGUAGUCC
rnacentral:rRNA from 1 species